rnacentral:misc_RNA from 1 species
GAUGAAGAACGCAGCGAAAUGCGAAAAGUAAUGUGAAUUGCAGAAUUCAGUGAAUCAUCGAAUCUUUGAACGCACAUUGCGCCCGCCAGUAUUCUGGCGGGCAUGCCUGUUCGAGCGUCAUUUCAACCCUCAAGCCCCCGGGCUUGGUGUUGGGGAUCGGCGUGCCCUCGCGGCGCGCCGUCCCCUAAAUCUAGUGGCGGUCUCGCUGUAGCUUCCUCUGCGUAGUAGCAACACUCGCACUGGAUCGCAGCGCGGCCACGCCGUUAAACCCCCCACUUCUGAAAGUUUGACCUCGGAUCAGGUAGGAAUACCCGCUGAACUUAAGCAUAUCAAUAAGCGGAGGA